UGACUCUCGGCAACGGAUAUCUCGGCUCUCGCAUCGAUGAAGAACGUAGCGAAAUGCGAUACUUGGUGUGAAUUGCAGAAUCCCGUGAACCAUCGAGUCUUUGAACGCAAGUUGCGCCCGAAGCCUUUUGGCCGAGGGCACGUUUGCCUGGGCGUC
rnacentral:rRNA from 1 species